rnacentral:rRNA from 1 species
GACGAACGCUGGCGGCGUGCCUAAUACAUGCAAGUCGAACGAGAGCGACCGGUGCUUGCACUGGUCAAUCUAGUGGCGAACGGGUGAGUAACACGUGGGUAACCUGCCCAUCAGAGGGGGAUAACAUCCGGAAACGGAUGCUAAAACCGCAUAGGUCUUCGAGCCGCAUGGCUUGAAGAGGAAAAGAGGCGCAAGCUUCUGCUGAUGGAUGGACCCGCGGUGCAUUAGCUAGUUGGUGAGGUAACGGCUCACCAAGGCCGUGAUGCAUAGCCGACCGGAGAGGGUGAUCGGCCACAUUGGGACUGAGACACGGCCCAAACUCCUACGGGAGGCAGCAGUAGGGAAUCUUCCGCAAUGGACGCAAGUCUGACGGAGCAACGCCGCGUGAGUGAAGAAGGUUUUCGGAUCGUAAAACUCUGUUGUUAGAGAAGAACAAGUGCUAGAGUAACUGUUAGCGCCUUGACGGUAUCUAACCGGAAAGCCACGGCUAACUACGUG